UACGUAGGGGGCAAGCGUUGUCCGGAUUCAUUGGGCGUAAAGAGCGUGUAGGCGGCCAGGUAGGUCGGUUGUGAAAACUGGAGGCUCAACCUUCAGAGGUCGACCGAAACCAUCUGGCUAGAGUCCGGGAGAGGAGAGUGGAAUUCCUGGUGUAGCGGUGAAAUGCGCAGAUAUCAGGAAGAACACCCGUGGCGAAAGCGGCUCUCUGGGCCUUACCUGACGCUGAGGAGCGAAAGCGUGGGUAGCGAACAGG
rnacentral:rRNA from 1 species